CCUACGGGAGGCAGCAGUGAGGAAUAUUGGUCAAUGGGCGGAAGCCUGAACCAGCCAAGUAGCGUGCAGGAUGACGGCCCUAUGGGUUGUAAACUGCUUUUAUACGGGAAUAACGCGCCUUACGUGUAGGGCUUUGCAUGUACCGUAUGAAUAAGGACCGGCUAAUUCCGUGCCAGCAGCCGCGGUAAUACGGAGGAUCCGGGCGUUAUCCGGAUUUAUUGGGUUUAAAGGGAGCGUAGGUCGUAUGUCAAGCCUGCGGUGAAAGUUCCGGGCUCAACCGGGGCAUUGCAGUGGAAACUGGCGGGCUUGAGUCCGCGGAAGGCAGGCGGAAUUCGUGGUGUAGCGGUGAAAUGCUUAGAUAUGACGAAGAACCCCGAUUGCGAAGGCAGCUUGCUGCAGCGGAACUGACGCUGAUGCUCGAAAGCGCGGGUAUCGAACAGGAUUAGAUACCCGUGUAGUC
rnacentral:rRNA from 1 species